UUAAUGGGACACCCUGUAUACUCAGGGCAAAAAAACGUCUUUUUGAAUCAAGUUAAAGUUAAAUUACAUUCUAAAUUAUGGUUUUGACGUUUCAACUUAUUAUUAGUUUACAAACAAAUUUUGUGUGCAAAACCUACUUUAUACGCUACCUAAUAUAAGUUUAUUCAAAUAGUAGGGUCGUUUUGAGACACUUGAGCAAUAUUUAAAAAAUUGUAUUUAAUAGUUUCUUUUAAAAGAAUACAUAAAAUUUAAAUAUCGUUACGGUGCAUGAUGUGAUCAAUGGUUUUCGAUUAUCAUUUCAAAACUGCUAAAAAAACAAUUAAGAUUUACUAUGGUAAAGUCAACUCUAUUUAUCAGCUAUACAGGGUGUUUCGGGAGGAAACGGAAAUAUUUUGGGAACAUGUUUAAAGGUCAAAAUAAGAUAAAUCAGCCCAUACGUUUUAAUCCGAUUCUGAACCGUUUCUGAAGUAAUCGGUUCUGAAGAUUUUUGUAAGAUUUUUUGUUUUAAAAGCAACACAAACAAAUACUAGUAAAAACCAAAAUUCCACUAAUUUAAAAUGUUUUCGAAAACACCCUCACCAAGUUCAAGGCAAGCUGCAGUACGUUUAUUAAGUGCUCGUGUUGUACGUUUAAUUGAUUGGAGAUUGUUUUUAAUAAUAUUUGAAGCAUUUCAAAUUUCCUUGUGGAGUCCUUUUACGGUUUCUACUGGUGUUUCGUACACUAGAGCUUUCAUCCACCCUCGAGGCAAUAAUUCAGUGGAUUUAAGUCUGGUGACCUCGGUGGCCAAACUUGAGGUCCUUCUCUGCCAAUCCAACGAUCAGGAAAACGAAUAUCUAAGAAAUUACGAACUCUGCGACUAAAAUGAGGCGAGACUCUAUCGUGUUGGAAAUACAUUCGGUGUCGAACAAUUAGCGCAACAUCAUCCGACAUGUGCAUUAAAUGGUCUUCCAAAAAGCGUAAAUAUCCUUCUCCAGUAUUAGACGCUCAUCUAAUACAAAGGGACCAAACAACUGGUCGUUCAGCAUUUCACACCAGACAUUAUAUAACACUGAAUCAAUGUUGAAGGUUUCGUUCAAACGUGGCAUGAGGAUUUUCAUCUGACCACCUAUGUUUAUUGUGUCGGUUAUUAACUCCAUUGCGGGUAAAAUGAGCUCCAGCGCUAAAUAAAAUGUAUUAAUGUAGGCCUCAAUUUUGUUGGAUCCAUUCGCAAAAUUGAACCCUUAAGCCAUAAUCACCCUCUUAAAGAUGUUGAACCGGUUGAAUAUGGAAAGGCCAAAGAGUCUUCCAAGUCAAGUCAAAGAGACUUCGAGGAUCAAAACAAAUGACGAAGAUCAAGUCAAGGUCAACACAAGCUCACGUUAAACGUCAACUAGAGGUCGCGUAGUAGUUCAAGCCAGGUCGAGUCGCGGUGACGUCGAGAGUCAAAUCAAGGAGACUUCCAGGGUCAAAACAAAUGUCGAAGGUCCAGUCAAAUAGGGGCUUCAUUUGAUUCUUGUGAACUGCUUGAUUCAUCCUCCAUAUGAAUAACAUCUAUAUUCACUUCCUCAAUUUGUUCAUUUUUAUCACAUUCUGACGAAGAUCCGCUUUCGGAACAUGCAUAGUCUGCAUCUUUACUAUCAUCGCUAUCGUGGAAAGGAUCCUGUUCACAUCCGAUAAAUUAUCAACAAGGUGCUGCAACUCACUUGCUGAUAAUCGCUGAUUUUUUCUAAAAUCGAAUAAAUAAUUAUUACACUACAACAUACUGCAGAUAUAUAUAUGUCCCACGCUGUAAUACUGCUGGGAUAAAUAAGUCUCGCGUUAUAACACGGCUGGAAUAUAUAUCCCACUGACCAUUUUUUGUGCUUAACAUUGUAUAAAAAGAUUAAAAAUGGAUAAGAUCAAUUACUUUUUACUCAUACUACUAGCAGCACUUUGAAUACAGCCAAUGUACAAGGUUAUUUCCGGUUUAUGAAUCAAAGACACGUGCACAACUCGAGAGCCACCGACCUUCUACAAAUGCCGAGAACGUACGUCAUAGCUCGGGAAUCCCGUUCGAGAUAUCCCCAAUACUGAAUUAUCCCAUCCCAAUGCAUUACAAAGCGCUGUUUUAAUUUUCGUGUUCUUGAAAAAAUUCUUGGGACAUUUAUGAGCCAGCAGUGUCGAAAAGGUUAAAAUUAUGGCAUCAUAAUAUAUUUCAUAAUGUAUUUAUUGUACCUGACGCAAAAUACGAUUUUUACAAAACCGUUUCAAGCUUUUUUACCAACAAACAGGAUAUUUCUUGUUUAGGCACUGUGGCGUUAAUUUUACAGUGUUACUAUUUUCCCAAGAGUUUGCAGACGGUAGCUCAGAAUUAUUGGAGGCUUGGGAUUGUUCGAAGAUUCACUUAUGACUGGCUAUUGAAGAAUGUAAACUUGAUUAUAACUAUUAAUUAAGAUAAGGAUGUCUAACAUGGGGAUCUCAGCAGCUUUAGGACAUACGAGGCUGAUUAAAUAUGAGAAAAGUUGCGCAUUUUAGAGCCUAACAAUACGCCGUUUAGAAAGUUUUAAAAUUUUGAGUAGUUCCGGAGAUAUUCGAGAAAAACCGAAAUUUGCCGAUUUCGUUUUUAUUUUUUUCUGGCGUUAUUUAGAGGGAUAUGGAAAAACAACUUCUCUUCUCUCGACACUUUCUCGUUUCGUUUCGAAAAAACCAUCAUCAACUUAAUUUUUUUAUAUGGCGCGUAAAAAAGUACACCCUGUAUAAAAUAGCAUAUUUUAUUAUGAUUAUAACAAUGUAUGACACAAUAUGUUCCCACAAUAUUUAAAUGUUAAAAAUUGGAUUUUUAUUAAAUUCCGAUGGUUUUGAUGUAGUAGGAGGUGAAAUGAAGACGCUGAGUAUGGUGUAGUAGGCUGCUAUUACUAAUAUUUUGAAAUAGUAAAUAAAAAUCACGUUAUUGAUAACUUAAAAAUUUUAUUCACAUAUCGUCACAUAGCUAGGUCACAUGAUUAUUUUAAAGAAUUAAACACAUUAUUAAAUUAAAAAACUACCUACUAGAAAUCCAAAAAUACUAAUUUAAAUCAUAGUAAUAAAUGUUCAAACAAAUUACCAUUAUUCUCCAAACACAGAUAACAUCUUCUAACAGUCGAGUUUAAAACACUUCUUAACAUUAGGUGUAAUGCUCUCAAAUGCUUCAAGAACUAUUCUCGUCAGCUGAUCCUCAGAUUUAAAAACACGACUGUAAACAUAAUUUUUGCAAUAGCCCCAGAGAAAAAAUUCGAGCGGAGUUAUGUCUGGGGAACGAGUAGGUCACGGAACUGUUCCAAUCCAUUUUUCCGGAAAUCUGUUCGAUAGAUACUCUCGCACGAUUAGGACAUUGUGUCAAUAACACCUCUACAAAAGGACAAAGCGCUCCAAAAAAUUUUGCUCGUGACGUCACGCAUUUGGGCCAUACACUUCGGGUUGAUUUUCGGGUGAAUUCAGCUGUUGACGCUGCCGUUGUUCGUCCACGGAAGGCUGCCUGCAACGCUGCCAGACUUUGAAGAUUGCCGUGAACGUUAGGAUGACCUAUUACUAUUUUAAAAUAAUCAAAGCUAUAUCUUUAACUGCCCUUACUUUACAAUUUAGUUAAAAAAAAGAGUGCAUCCUUAAUUCUCUUUUUAUAAUUUAAACUUCCAUUUUUUCAAAUUUUAUCAUUUAUCUAAUACCUUGCUACUUGCCAAUAGGAGUUCUUUCUAUAUAAAUCUGACAACGGCGCAUCUACUAGUUGUGCCACCUGAUGAAACGAGAGGUUAGGUUGUUUACUUAGAACAUUGAAAGGCUAGAAUUAGUAAACAACAACUUUGUUUGAGUCCAACAUGUGCACAGGGGCAAGAGGGGUGUUUUAUUUACAAACAUAUGUGCCGAUUCUCUGUUGUCAAGUCGACACAAAUUUCCAACGGAGGAAAUUUUUAGCUAUAUUUUAACAAACAUUAUAACGUUAAUUUAACUUAUUUCUGUUAUAUUUUAUAGGAAAAUUUAAAAUAAAAAGUAUAAAUACUACAAUUAACCUAUUUUAAGAAUAAAUAUAAUAUCCUUAAGCAAAAAAAAACAAAAUUAUUAACAUUCUUAUCCCUAAAACUGCUUCUAAAAAAUUUGAAGCGACAACACCGGAGCUUAAGCGCCUAAACCAUACGCGUUGUGUCAUCUGUCAAACGGCUUUUUGUUUAUAUUCGGGAUUCGUGUAUUUUCUUUAAUUUUUGGUUUAAAAAGGAAAAAAGGCCACGUUUUAGUGUUUUUUUAAAUUGCUAGGAUGGCAAAAACUUGUGUCGUUUGUGCCGCAUCAUGAUAAAAACGUGAUUCAAGCCGAUCUUUUCACAAGUAAGUACCGAUACUUUCAUAACAUCACAUCAUGGGGUAACCAUCAUCAUAAACGUAGAAUAGGGGAUCUUAUAGAUAUAAACCUAAUAAAAAUUUGAAUGUGAAAGUGUGCGUAAAAUACCAACAUAUUUAUAUUUUUAAAUCUAAAUAUUUUUUUGCACAUAUUCAUCUAUUAAUAGGCUAUAAAAGAUAUAAAACUAGAAUUUUGUCCCUGGUUUUAUUACAGGAUUUUAUGUUUUUUUUGUUGUUUUGGCAGAAAAAAUGCAUAAUACCUAUGUACCUAUCUAUAUAUAGUUUGAUAUCUAUGUAUAAAGUUAAUUUUGUCUUUCUUUAAAAUUCGUUCCAUAAUUUUUUUUUGUUUUACCUUAUUGCAACUUACAAUAAUAUAUAUAGUAAUUGGCACCACAUAUUAAUUUAUUACUGUAAUUUUUUUCUGCUUUUUGAUUAAAUAUCAAAUACUUAUUAUAGAUUGCCCAAUGAUUAUGCCCAAAGGGAACAAUGGGUUUCAUUAAUGGAAAUCAACACAUUUAAAAAGAACAUAUUUGUUUGUUCAGAUCACAUCCUUAGAAGUGAUAUAAGGGAGAUAAUAUUAUCAGUAGCCAGACUUUAUUAAAAAAAUCAGCUCUACCUCAAAGGAUUUCUGAUGCACUGGUUAAAAACACAGCAGCCAAUAAUUCAGUUAAUUUACCAAGUGAUUUACCCUUCAAAGCUACAGGGGUAGCUUUCCCGAAGAGUGCAAAAACUUCUUUAGCUUUCAAAAUGGUAUAUAGUACAAACAGUGAAGCUAAUAUACUUACUUAGACACGUAUGGAUAAUUAAAAUAGAUUAAUAUUCUUGAUACACCAAAUUUUGUAUAAUUACAGAUCUUACAUUACAUCAUCAACAAUAACUGCAUCUGAGAAUUAUAGUUCUACAGUAACCGUGGAGUCUAGGUCAACAAUUACUAUUUCUCAUCCAAGCCGUUUUUGUUUAACUGCUACACAUUCCCUGACUCUGUCAAGGAAAAGGGUAAAAUCAAAAUGAUAUCCUGAGGACCUAAGCACGGAUGAUUCCACCGUUUCAAGAGCUUAAUCACUUGUCACCAGAUUAUGGAAAAAAAAUAAAGAACAAAAAAUUAAAAUUCGAAGAUUGCAACAAGCAAAUUUGCGCCAAAGAAAUUGAAUUAGAUGUCUCAAGUCAUUAUUAAAAUACUUACAUGAAAUAAUAACAUGAUUUUAUGGAAAAGCCCAACAUACUACAUAUUUUAUUUGACUUGUAAAAGCACUUGUUUGUAUAUUACUACUAAUAAACUCUCUAAUCUAAUCUAUUGUACAUAGUCUUUAUUCUUAGCUUUGUUUUUUAGUAUAAAUUA